AGAUGUGAAGGCGAUCUGGCUGUGACAUCUGUCACUCCAUUGAUCACCAGGGUUGAUCUGGCUGAUCAGGCUGGCCCAGUGAAUGUCCCCUUCCUCCCUCACUGUUCCAUGUGUGUCCCUCCUGAAUCUAUACACUCAGUUGAAGAGGACAACCACCCCCAAUAGAAGAGGACCAUUUCCUCGAUCAAAGGUAUAUGAGUAGCUGCAUUCCCCUGCUAGAACGAGCUCUCAAGAAGGUGUAGCAGUCUGUCAACCACCAGCUGGUGCU
rnacentral:snRNA from 1 species